rnacentral:rRNA from 1 species
ACAAGCCCUGGAAACGGGGUCUAAUACCGGAUAUGACCAUCUUGGGCAUCCUUGAUGGUGUAAAGCUCCGGCGGUGAAGGAUGAGCCCGCGGCCUAUCAGCUUGUUGGUGAGGUAAUGGCUCACCAAGGCGACGACGGGUAGCCGGCCUGAGAGGGCGACCGGCCACACUGGGACUGAGACACGGCCCAGACUCCUACGGGAGGCAGCAGUGGGGAAUAUUGCACAAUGGGCGAAAGCCUGAUGCAGCGACGCCGCGUGAGGGAUGACGGCCUUCGGGUUGUAAACCUCUUUCAGCAGGGAAGAAGCGAAAGUGACGGUACCUGCAGAAGAAGCGCCGGCUAACUACGUGCCAGCAGCCGCGGUAAUACGUAGGGCGCAAGCGUUGUCCGGAAUUAUUGGGCGUAAAGAGCUCGUAGGCGGCUUGUCACGUCGAUUGUGAAAGCCCGAGGCUUAACCUCGGGUCUGCAGUCGAUACGGGCUAGCUAGAGUGUGGUAGGGGAGAUCGGAAUUCCUGGUGUAGCGGUGAAAUGCGCAGAUAUCAGGAGGAACACCGGUGGCGAAGGCGGAUCUCUGGGCCAUUACUGACGCUGAGGAGCGAAAGCGUGGGGAGCGAACAGGAUUAGAUACCCUGGUAGUCCACGCCGUAAACGGUGGGAACUAGGUGUUGGCGACAUUCCACGUCGUCGGUGCCGCAGCUAACGCAUUAAGUUCCCCGCCUGGGGAGUACG